ACCUCAGUUCUCUCUCUGAGGAAAUCCUUAAAGACAGUGAGCAGCAUGGUGAACUCAACUGAUCCUGCCAUAGAGGAGGUCGGGGAAAGCACCCUACUGC